AUUGAACGCUGGCGGCAGGCCUAACACAUGCAAGUCGAGCGGAUGAAGGGAGCUUGCUCCUGGAUUCAGCGGCGGACGGGUGAGUAAUGCCUAGGAAUCUGCCUGGUAGUGGGGGAUAACGUCCGGAAACGGGCGCUAAUACCGCAUACGUCCUGAGGGAGAAAGUGGGGGAUCUUCGGACCUCACGCUAUCAGAUGAGCCUAGGUCGGAUUAGCUAGUUGGUGGGGUAAAGGCCUACCAAGGCGACGAUCCGUAGCUGGCCUGAGAGGAUGAUCAGUCACACUGGAACUGAGACACGGUCCAGACUCCUACGGGAGGCAGCAGUAGGGAAUCUUCCGCAAUGGGCGAAAGCUUGACGGAGCAACGCCGCGUGAGUGAUGAAGGUCUUCGGAUCGUAAAACUCUGUUAUUAGGGAAGAACAAAUGUGUAAGUAACUAUGCACGUCUUGACGGUACCUAAUCAGAAAGCCACGGCUAACUACGUG
rnacentral:rRNA from 1 species